rnacentral:rRNA from 1 species
UACGUAGGGUGCAAGCGUUGUCCGGAAUUAUUGGGCGUAAAGAGCUCGUAGGCGGUUUGUCGCGUCGAAUGUGAAAACCCGGGGCUCAACCCCGGGCCUGCAUUCGAUACGGGCAGACUAGAGUUCGGUAGGGGAGUCUGGAAUUCCUGGUGUAGCGGUGAAAUGCGCAGAUAUCUGGAGGAACACCGGUGGCGAAGGCGGCAUCCUGGACCGGCAUUGACGCUAAAGCGCGAAAGCCAGGGGAGCAAACGGG